CCGGCAGCUCGCGGACAGGUGCGGCUGAAGGAGAGAGGGGCGGCGGGCAGGCCGGGGUGGGGUCCAGGGUGCCUGUGACGGUGACAGUGACCGAGGCACUAGGUAAUUCAUCCCGGACGGGUGGAAGGGCGUCCCCCGGCGGGAGGUGAGCGGCGGGCAGCUUUCAGGAGUCCCGGAGGAGAAAGUCAGCCGCAAAACUCCGAGAGGCAAGAACAGGGAGCGGAACCGGAAGUGAGGGAAGAGGGCCAGAAACCCUGCAGAGAGAAGAAAGAUUUUCCCGUCGGGGUCCCGCCCCUCCACUAUGGCCACGCCCCCUCCCGAGCUCUGACCUCGCCAUCUGCGGCGUCCAGGCCUCUAGUCCCCGGCGGCACCCCCAUUGCGCCCUCUGGCGGCGACAGCGGCGUUAGCAUGUCUAGCGGUGAGCAUUCCUUAAGGAAGUCUGGAAAGAGGAAGAGCUCAGGUCCAGGAGAGGGAGACCCUGGGGACACCCACGGUGGGGGAUUUGCAGGAAGAAAAAAAAUCUCAAUGUAAAAUUUGACGGUUAGGGUUAGACAGAGAACUGGAGAAUUCCUCAGAAGAUCUGAUGUCCUGCUGUCAUAAGUCUAUACCCAAGCAUCUAGUAAGUCCUGCCUGCUCUCUCUCAGUGACAUGUACCUUGGCCU
rnacentral:lncRNA from 1 species